rnacentral:rRNA from 1 species
GCUAGAAAGUAGUAUUAACGCAAUAUAAUUUCUGCCUAGUGCUCUAAAUAUUAAAGCGAAGAGAUUCGACUAAGCGCGAGUAAAUAGCGGGAGUAACUAUAACUCUCUUAAGGUAGCUAAAUGCCUCGUUAUCUAAUUAGUAACGCGCAUAAAUAGAUUAAUAAGAUUUCUACUAUCUCUAUCUACUAUCUAGCAAAACUAUAGCUAAGAGAACGGGCUUAGCUAAAUUAGCGGGGAAAGAAGACUCUAUUAAGCUUAACUCUAGUUUAAUAUUAUAAAAAGAUAUAGGGGGUAUAGAAUAGAUAGAAGCUUCAGCGCUAGUAAAAUACUACUACUCUUAUUAUUUUUUUACUUAUUCGAUAAAGCGGAGCUAGGCCUUACUGCCUAACUUCUAGCGUUAAGGUCCUUUAUAGGCUAAUCUAGGUUAAAGAUAUUGUUAGGUAGAGAGUUUAGCUAGAGCGGCAUAUCUAUUAAACUAUAACGCAGGUGUUCUAAGAGGGACUUAUAGAGAACAGAAAUCUCUAGUAGAGCAAAAGGGCAAAAGUCCUCUUAAUUUUAAUUUUUAGUAUAAAUAUAAACUAUAAAAGUAUAGCCUAUCAAUUCUUUAGUCCCUUGAAAUUUAAGGCUAGAGGUGCUAGAAAAGUUACUAUAGAGAUAACUAGCUUGUAGCAGCCAAGCGUUUAUAGCGACGUUGCUUUUUAAUCCUUUAAUAUUAGCUCUUUCUAUUAUACUAAAGCAGAAUUCGAUAAGCGUUAGAUUGUUUACCUACUAAUAGAGAACGUAAGCUAGGUUUAGACUAUUAUAAGAUAGGUUAGUUUUAUCCUACUAAUAACCUUGCUUUAAUAGUAAUACUGCUUAGUAUAAGAGGAACUACGGUUUUAGAUAAUUGGUUUUUGCGGCUAUCUAAUUAGGCAUUGCUGCGAAGCUACUAUCUGCUAGAUUAUAGCUAAACGCCUCUAAGUCAGAAUCUAUGCUAGAAUAGAGUAAUUUCU